UGCGUAGGCGGAUUAAUAAGUCAGUGGUGAAAACCUGCAGCUUAACUGCAGACCUGCCAUUGAUACUGUUAGUCUUGAGUACGGUCAAGGUAGGCGGAAUGUGUAAUGUAGCGGUGAAAUGCUUAGAUAUUACACAGAACACCGAUUGCGAAGGCAGCUUACUGGGCCAUUACUGACGCUGAGGCGCGAAAGCGUGGGGAGCGAACAGGAUUAGAUACCCUGGUAGUCC
rnacentral:rRNA from 1 species